GAUGAACGCUGGCGGCGUGCUUAACACAUGCAAGUCGAACGAAGCACUUUAUUUGAUUUCCUUCGGGACUGAUUAUUUUGUGACUGAGUGGCGGACGGGUGAGUAACGCGUGGGUAACCUGCCUUGUACAGGGGGAUAACAUUUGGAAACGGCUGCUAAUGCCGCAUAAGCGCCCAGCAUCGCAUGAUGCAGUGUGAAAAACUCCGGUGGUAUAAGAGGGACCCGCGUUGGAUAAGCUAGUUGGUGAGGUAACGGCCCACCAAGGCGACGAUCCAUAGCCGAGAUGAGAGGGUGACCGGACACAUUUGGACUGAGCCACGGCCCAAAAUCCUACGCGAGGCAGCAGUGGGGAAUAUUGCAAAAUGGGCGAAAGCAUGAUGCAGCGACGACGCGUGAGCGCAGAAGUAUUUCGGUAUGUAAAGCUCUAUCAGCAGGGAAGAUAAUGACGGUACCUGACUAAGAAGCACCGGCUAAAUACGUG
rnacentral:rRNA from 1 species